rnacentral:rRNA from 1 species
CCUACGGGAGGCAGCAGUGAGGAAUUAUGCGCAAUGGGGGCAACCCUGACGCUGCGACGCCGCGUGGGCGAUGAAGGUCUUCGGAUCGUAAAGCCCUGUCGAGAGGGAAGAAAAGUCCGGGUGCUAAUACCGCCCGGACCUGACGGUACCUCUGGAGGAAGCCCCGGCUAACUCCGUGCCAGCAGCCGCGGUAAUACGGAGGGGGCGAGCGUUGUUCGGAAUUACUGGGCGUAAAGCGUGCGCAGGCGGAUUGUUAAGCAAGAUGUGAAAUCCCCGGGCUUAACCUGGGAAUGGCAUUUUGAACUGGCAGUCUAGAGUGUGUCAGAGGGGGGUAGAAUUCCACGUGUAGCAGUGAAAUGCGUAGAGAUGUGGAGGAAUACCGAUGGCGAAGGCAGCCCCCUGGGAUAACACUGACGCUCAUGUACGAAAGCGUGGGUAGCAAACAGGAUUAGAUACCCUGGUAGUCCACGCCCUAAACGAUGUCAACUGGUUGUUGGGGGAGUGAAAUCCCUUAGUAACGAAGCUAACGCGUGAAGUUGACCGCCUGGGGAGUACGGUCGCAAGAUUAAAACUCAAAGGAAUUGACGG